GAUGAACGCUGGCGGCGUGCCUAAUACAUGCAAGUCGAGCGAACUUUUGGGAGCUUGCUCCCAACAGUUAGCGGCGGACGGGUGAGUAACACGUGGGUAACCUGCCUGUAAGACUGGGAUAACUUCGGGAAACCGGAGCUAAUACCGGAUAACAUUGAAGACCACAUGGCCUUCCAUUAAAAGGUGGCUUUUAGCUACCACUUACAGAUGGACCCGCGGCGCAUUAGCUAGUUGGUGAGGUAACGGCCCACCAAGGCGACGAUGCGUAGCCGACCUGAGAGGGGGAGCGGCCAACCUGGGAAUGAGACACGGCCCAGAAUCCUACGGGAGGAAGCAGGAGGGAAUCUUCCGAAAUGGACGAAAGUCUGACGGCGCAACGCCGCGGGAGCGAAGAAGGCCGUCGGGUCGUAAAGCUCUGUUGUUAGGGAAGAAAAAGUAUCGUUCGAAUAGGGCGGUACCUUGACGGUACCUAAACAGAAAGCAACGGCUAACUACGUG
rnacentral:rRNA from 1 species